CACCUGCCACUGGUCGAUCUCGUUGACGUCAUAGAGCAUGCGGCCGAUCAUGACAUAGAGCCACUUGCACACGACAACGCGCUCCUCGCCAGGCGCCCCCAGUUCCUGGUAGUCGAGCACCUGCUGAAAGUAGGGCGUCUCAAUGUCAUGGUACCAGUCGUCGGCCACGUCGGCAAACUGCUCGGGAAAGGGCAUGUCGAAAAACUUGCACGCCAUAACAUGCCGGUCGAUGUGGUUGCGCACGCCCGUCGUCGGGUCGACAUAGGGCGUGUAGGCCAGCGUGUAGCAGUCAUAGAGGCCCGUCGUAAAGGCAAACACGCGGCGAUCGGGCACGAGGUCGGGAAACUCGAUGUCGCUGCACCUUUCCAGUUGGGUCACGGCGUUCUUGGCGGCGCCGUUGGCGUUGAGGUUGCGCCACUGCUCCCAGUGGACCUCCUUCUUGGUCACCUUGUAGAUAAACUGCUCAAUGGUGCACACCUGGCGCCACGCGUGCGUCUCGUACUUGGUCCUUUCGGCGCCUGCCGGCAGCGGCCGCCCGGCGGCGGCGGCCUCGGCUCUGAGGGCGUCGAGUUCGUUGGGCGGCGUCGGACCCUCGAUCAGGAUCUGCUCGUAGCAGCAGCCCUUGUAGCGCCGGUAGCCGUGGGACGCCAGUUGGCGCAGGAGAAAGAGCACGAGGCUCUCGUUGGGCUUGAGGUCGGUGAGGCUCAUUGUCGUGAGGCGAAAGAUGGUCGAGUCGAGCGAGGCCGCCACGUUGAGGUUGUCGUCGCGGGCGUUGAUCACGCGCGCCCGGCUCUCCACGCCAUAGUAGGCAUACUGGAUCGACUCAAAGAUGCGAAAGAACACGUUGCUGCACUGGAUGUUGACCUCGUUGUGCGAGUUGAUGCGCCCGCGCACGGCAAAGAGCGACAUCAGGUAGGACACGCGGUGGAUCGAGUCGCGCGUGCGCUCCGCCACCGUGGCGAGGUCGAUCUGCGCGUGCGGGUCCACGUGGAAGCGCUCGCAGGCCCAGGCCAUAAAGUCGCCGUCGCGGUCCGGCGGGAUGCGCCACUCGGCAAAGGCCAUGCCCAAGAGGUCGUUCAACUCGUCGUCGGUGUACGAGUCGGCGCGCUCGACCUCAAACGGCAGCGGCGCGUCGUAGCCGCCGGUGAAAAUGCGGUCCAGCGUGACGGCCUCGGGCCGGCGCCUCGCGCUGUCGGCGGCGUCGCGCUGGAGCCGCGACUGGGCCUCGCGUCGCUCGGCGACGCUCAAGCGGAGGGUGUCUAUGCCGGCGGUGCCGACAGUCGCAGGCUCCAAAGGCGCCGAUGUUGUCGAGUCGUGUGAGGUGGCCAUCGAGAACAAAAAGGAAUGGAGAGCCUGAUGGAAAAGGGAUCGUAUUAGUGUCGGCGACGUGUAGCGUGCCGCCGCGCGCACACGCACACACAAAAGGCCGCCUUGUUGUGGCACCAAAAAAGCAAAGGCAGACAGGGGUCGAUGCGGCGACUGCGCGCACUAUGACCAAAAGCGGCCGUUCAAGGACAGACCGCAACAAGAGAGGAAAAAAAAAGACAGGAGCGGCCUCGUGUGCAAUGCCACAACAGUGCCAUGUUUAAAAACGAUGGUAAUGGAAAAGUAUAAAAAAAAGAUGGGCGGUGGCGGCAAGAUGGGAUGGCCCACAGAGAGGGCGUUCGACCCGACACUGCCAUCACACACAAACCUCGAUGGCACAAAGCCCCCCAUUUUUUGAAAAAAGAACGGGAAAAAGAGAAACAAAAAAGACCCAAAAGGACAGGUUGCCCUGGCGAAAAAGGUGGUGGGCCAAGGGCACACAUGUGCCCCCAGUAGUGCACCGGCAAUAUGUGGGCAAUGCAGAGC
rnacentral:lncRNA from 1 species